AUGUGGGCCCUCCGCGUGCUGGCCGACGUGGCGGAGGAUUUCACCGACGCCGCUGAAGAGGCGGUCCAGCUCCUCAUCAGGAUCCGCACCGCCAGCGGCCGGGCGGCGCGCGCCUCGGUCACCGCCGUCUCCAUCCUCCUAGCCGGCGUGCGGGACGUCGCAUCCGCCUUCGCGCCCGUCGUCCAGGUCGUCGCCAAGUUUUUCCGGCGCUCCCGCCCCAAGCCGUCCCGGCAGGAACGCCGCCGCAAGAGCGCGAGGUCCGCAAGCGCGAGCGGGAGGACAAGGCCUCCCUGCGCUCCACAGCGUCCCGCAUCACGCCCCCGACCCCGACCCCCGCCCGUGCUCCCAUCCCAUCCCCGUGCCGGAUCUCGCAGCCUCCGCCGCCGUGGGUCUGCCUCCUCCACCGGCUAUUCCACCGACUCCGAAGUAUGA
rnacentral:rRNA from 1 species